GAUCAAGUGUCGUAAGGGCAUUUAGUGGAUGCCU
rnacentral:rRNA from 2 species